rnacentral:rRNA from 1 species
AGUGAACGCUGGCGGUAGGCCUAACACAUGCAAGUCGAACGGCAGCACAGUAAGAGCUUGCUCUUAUGGGUGGCGAGUGGCGGACGGGUGAGGAAUACAUCGGAAUCUACUUUUUCGUGGGGGAUAACGUAGGGAAACUUACGCUAAUACCGCAUACGACCUACGGGUGAAAGCAGGGGAUCUUCGGACCUUGCGCGAUU